rnacentral:SRP_RNA from 1 species
CGGAAGGCGCCUUUGGACGCUGUUCUCUGUGAACCCGGUCAGAUCCGGAAGGAAGCAGCCGUGACAGAUGGGUUGCGGGUCAGAGUGUGUCUUCCACUU